GGCUCUCGGGGCGUUGUUCAGUGGGGCCUCGGUGCCGGUCUCCGAUGCCUGUACGCAUGCAAACUCGUUCCCAGGUCUAUCUUUCUCGCCGCGUUAGUUGCCAACUGCUCCGCGAACUCCCCCGCCUGGCCGCAUGCAGCAACAAAAUAGCUCGCAUAAAAAAAUCUUUCUCGUGCCGGCUGGCCGCUCGGAGUCAAGGUCUGGGCGGUAUAAAUCCAUCUCCUGGCCAUGGAGCCGUGCCUCUGCACCUCCAUGGGCAGAUCCUGCAUCCAUCUUCCAUCUGGCCAUGUCUGUGCUCGUCCCUGCCCAGCGGCCAACCACGCUAACCCGGCCUGCUCCCGUGCUCCAACUCGCCAACCAUUGCUCCGGUGUUAUGCUGUCGCGAACCAGUGGGCUACCGUGGCCGGGAACCGUACUACUUAAACCACCGCGGUGAGGACACGAGUCAUCUGAAGAGCAAGUUGGUACCUGGAAUCUCAAGUCCCAGGCAAGUUGUGCCCUUGAUCACUUCAUUUUACCCACUCAUGUUCUAAUUAAUCAUAAUGAUCUGCAUAGGUUAAUUUUGAUGGGACCCAAUAGGUUACCCUAGUUUGUCUAUCUUUAUACCUUGUUUACCACUGAACUUUUUGGGUAGUACUUGCUAGUGCUUUAUGUGGUUUUGGGUAUGAAGAUACAUUAUUCAUGAUUAUACUUUUGUUAUCCGUUGUUAUUUACUGUUCAUGAUAAGAUCAUUAUGUUAAUUGGAACAUGGAGCGACCACCCGGAAAACAGUGCUACCACAAGGGUUUAUGGACGCCCUUGGCUGAUUAAUUAGGAAAGUUAGUGGAGGACUACCUUACCCGAAAGGGGCAAGGGCAGUAGGGGAGUGGUCAGUGUAGGGAGGUCCUUGGUUGAUUUUGCUGCGAUGGCGGUCAGGCAAGGGAUCCCUGCAUUGGAGCUUCCUAUAAACUGUAGCGGGUUUUCUGAAGCUAGUGGAACUUUCUAAAGGCCUCGUAGUGUUACCCUGCCUCACCUCCUUGGUAGAGGUGUACGGGAAGUCGCGAUCCCUUGGCAGAUGGGUAACAUGACUUGUGGGUAAAGAUGCGCAACCUCUGCAGAGUGUAAAACUGGUAUACUAGCCGUGCUCACAGUCAUGAGCAGCUCGGACCCUCACAUGAUUAAUUUAUGGAACUAAAUUCAAUUUGUCAUAUGCAUUGCAUCGCAGGUGAUGUUGUUACUUUUGUUCUACUACUUAAUUGGGUUGGUAUUUACUUAUACUUAGUAACUGCUAAUAAAAUUUUGACCAACUUUAAAAGCAAUGCUCAGCUCUAACCAUCCUCUUUGGUAAGCCUUACACUUCACGUGAGCUCCCACCUUUGGCGAGUUCAUGCACAUUAUUCCCCACAACUUGUUGAGCGAUGAACGUAUGUGAGCUCACUCUUGUUGUCUCACACUCCCCACAGGUCAAGAACAGGUACCACAGGAUAAGGCGCAUGGAGGAUGCUGCGAUGUGUUCGUGAGAGAUCUAGGUCGUCGUCUCUCAGUCAACUUUGGGUUGUUGGACCGUUUUCUCCUUUUGAUGUAAUUAUUUAUUUAUUUUGUAUAGAACUCCUAUUAUAUAGUAAAGAUGUGAUAUUCGAUCAUGUGCCAUGAUUCAUCAUAUGUGUGAGACUUGGUCCUAGCACACCUGGUGAUUAUGUUCGCGCCCGAGUUUUGGACCCCUAAAACCCGGGUGUGACACAUUCUCUCUGGUACACACAGGCAUGUUUGUCAGCUCGAUGUCUUGAUCUUUGAUGGACGAGCAUAGUGAAAAGACUAGCCACCGUUUUGUGCAA